rnacentral:tRNA from 1 species
GGAUCCAUAGCUCAGUGGUAGAGCAUUUUACUGCAGAUCAAGAGGUUGUCGGUUUGAUCUA